rnacentral:hammerhead_ribozyme from 1 species
GCACUGCUGAUGGGUCUCAAACAAAACGAAACGGCUGUCCAGUGC